GUAAGUAAUUUAUUCACCCAUUCGCAGACAGGAAGUUCUUCAAUUUCUGAACUUUUAAAUCAUAUUUUUGGAAUUCAAUAAAAUCCACGUCUGAGAACAAUUUGGUCUCUUCACAACAGUGUAACCCCUUGACAUCCACUUUUAUUCGGAAAAGGACAUGACCUGAUCGAAGCUCCGGGUGCAACAAAGGGGGCGAGUAGAGAGAAAGGCCUCCAAGUUUUCAACAUUUGUAAGUAAACAGUUUCACACUUCUUUUAAUCCCGAUCAUUUUCGAGCUACCAUUUGACAUCCGACCCAUCUGCCGGUCGGCGUCGAAUGUUAGAUAAGUGUUUUAUUUAUUGAGUUUUUACUAUAACAAAGUUUUAAAAUUUUGAAACUAAAACCUCUCGAACUUGGAUUUGAAAAUCAAAAGAGGUGAACAUGCCACUGAUCUCUCCUCCUCGCCGAUUUGAAAAGCAAAAGGAACCAUUCUACCACCCGGGCCCAUCUCUUCUCCUCUGAUGAACUUUUCAGCUACCUCCCCCGGCCACCACCCCUGGCCUUUGUCUCAGAUUGGCAGUUUUCC
rnacentral:lncRNA from 1 species